UACGUAGGGACCGAGCGUUGUCCGGAAUCAUUGGGCGUAAAGAGCGUGUAGGCGGCUAUUUAAGUCCUGCGUGAAAUCCUGCGGCUCAACCGCAGAAUUGCCUUCGAUACUGGUUGGCUUGAGACCGGAAGAGGUAAGUGGAACUGCGAGUGUAGAGGUGAAAUUCGUAGAUAUUCGCAAGAACACCAGUGGCGAAGGCGGCUUACUGGUCCGGUUCUGACGCUGAGGCGCGAAAGCGUGGGGAGCAAACA
rnacentral:rRNA from 1 species